UACGAAGGGGGCUAGCGUUGUUCGGAAUCACUGGGCGUAAAGCGCACGCAGGCGGAUAAAUAAGUCAGGGGUGAAAUCCCGGGGCUCAACCUCGGAAUUGCCUUUGAUACUGUUUAUCUCGAGUUCGGGAGAGGUUGGUGGAAUUCCUAGUGUAGAGGUGAAAUUCGUAGAUAUCUGGAGGAACACCGGUGGCGAAGGCGGCAUCCUGGACCGGUAUUGACACUGAGGAGCGAAAGCCAGGGGAGCAAACGGG
rnacentral:rRNA from 1 species